rnacentral:rRNA from 1 species
GGGCAGAGGGAAUUCCCGGUGUAGCGGUGAAAUGCGUAGAUAUCGGGAAGAACACCAGUGGCGAAGGCGCUCUGCUGGGCCAUUACUGACGCUCAUGGACGAAAGCCAGGGGAGCGAAAGGGAUUAGAUACCCCUGUAGUCCUGGCCGUAAACGAUGAACACUAGGUGUCGGGGGAAUCGACCCCCUCGGUGUCGUAGCUAACGCGUUAAGUGUUCCGCCUGGGGAGUACGCACGCAAGUGUGAAACUCAAAGGAAUUGACGGGGGCCCGCACAAGCGGUGGAGUAUGUGGUUUAAUUCGAUGCAACGCGAAGAACCUUACCAGGGUUUGACAUCCUGCGAACCUCUUAGAAAUUUGAGGGUGCCUUCGGGAAUGCAGUGACAGGUGGUGCAUGGCUGUCGUCAGCUCGUGUCGUGAGAUGUUGGGUUAAGUCCCGCAACGAGCGCAACCCACGUUUUUAGUUGCCAGCAUUUAGUUGGGCACUCUAGAAAGACCGCCGGUGAUAAACCGGAGGAAGGUGUGGAUGACGUCAAGUCAUCAUGCCCCUUACACCCUGGGCUACACACGUACUACAAUGCUACGGACAAAGGGCAGCAAACUCGCGAGAGCUAGCAAAUCCCAUAAACCGUGGCUCAGUUCAGAUCGUAGGCUGCAACUCGCCUACGUGAAGUAGGAAUCGCUAGUAAUCGCAGGUCAGCAUAC